rnacentral:tRNA from 3 species
GGCGCGGUGGCGGAGUGGUUACGCAGCGGCCUGCAAAGCCGUGUACACCGGUUCGAUUCCGGUCCGCGCCUCCA